UACGUAGGGGGCGAGCGUUGUCCGGAAUUACUGGGCGUAAAGCGCACGUAGGCGGCUUUGUAAGUUAGAGGUGAAAGCCCGGGGCUCAACUCCGGAAUUGCCUUUAAGACUGCAUCGCUAGAAUUGUGGAGAGGUAAGUGGAAUUCCGAGUGUAGAGGUGAAAUUCGUAGAUAUUCGGAAGAACACCAGUGGCGAAGGCGACUUACUGGACACAUAUUGACGCUGAGGUGCGAAAGCGUGGGGAGCAAACAGG
rnacentral:rRNA from 1 species